AUUGAACGCUGGCGGCAGGCCUAACACAUGCAAGUCGAACGAGUGGCGGACGGGUGAGUAAUGUCUGGGAAACUGCCUGAUGGAGGGGGAUAACUACUGGAAACGGUAGCUGAUACCGCAUACCAUCAGAUGUGCUCAGGUGGGAUUAGCUGGUUGGUGGGGUAACGGCUCACCAAGGCGACGAUCCCUAGCUGGUCUGAGAGGAUGACCGGCCACACUGGAACUGAGACACGGUCCAGACGCCUACGGGAGGCAGCAGUGGGGAAUAUUGGACAAUGGGCGAAAGCCUGAUCCAGCCAUGCCGCGUGUGUGAAGAAGGUCUUCGGAUUGUAAAGCACUUUAAGUUGGGAGGCGUUACCAGCAGAAGAAGCACCGGCUAACUACGUGCCAGCAGCCGCGGUAAUAC
rnacentral:rRNA from 1 species